rnacentral:rRNA from 1 species
CAGUCGCCACGGGAAUACGUAGGUGGCAAGCGUUGUCCGGAAUUAUUGGGCGUAAAGGGCUCGCAGGCGGUUUCUUAAGUCUGAUGUGAAAGCCCCCGGCUCAACCGGGGAGGGUCAUUGGAAACUGGGAAACUUGAGUGCAGAAGAGGAGAGUGGAAUUCCACGUGUAGCGGUGAAAUGCGUAGAGAUGUGGAGGAACACCAGUGGCGAAGGCGACUCUCUGGUCUGUAACUGACGCUGAGGAGCGAAAGCGUGGGGAGCGAACGGGAUUAGAUACCCCCGUAGUCCCUGUCUCUUAUAC